rnacentral:rRNA from 1 species
UACGUAGGGUGCAAGCGUUAAUCGGAAUUACUGGGCGUAAAGCGUGCGCAGGCGGUUGUGCAAGACCGAUGUGGAAUCCCCGGGCUUAACCUGGGAAUUGCAUUCGAUACUGGAUAGCUAGAGUUCGGCAGAGGGAAGCGGAAUUUCGGGUGUGGCGGUGAAAUGCGUAGAUAUCCGAAGGAACAUCAGUGGCGAAAGCGGCUUCCUGGACCAGAACUGACGAUCAGGCACGAAAGCGUGGGGAGCAAACAGG